GACAGAGGGUGCAAACGUUGUUCGGAAUUACUGGGCGUAAAGCGCGUGUAGGCUGCUCGGAAAGUCGGAUGUGAAAGCCCUGGGCUCAACCUAGGAAGUGCAUUCGAAACUUCCGAGCUGGAGUACUGGAGAGGAAGGCGGAAUUCUCAGUGUAGAGGUGAAAUUCGUAGAUAUCGAGAGGAACACCGGUGGCGAAGGCGGCCUUCUGGACAGUCACUGACGCUGAGACGCGAAAGCGUGGGGAGCAAACAGG
rnacentral:rRNA from 1 species